rnacentral:rRNA from 1 species
AUCUGUAGAAUACAGGGACUGAGUGUACCCAACGAAAAGCCACGGCUAACUUCGUGCCAGCAGCCGCGGUAAUACGAAGGUGGCAAGCGUUACUCGGAAUGACUAGGCGUAAAGGGCAGGUAGGCGGUCUUGUAAGUCUGUUGUGAAAGCUCCUGGCUCAACUGGGAGAGGCCAACAGAUACUGCAAGGCUUGAGUAUAGGAGAGGAUACUGGAAUUCCCGGAGUAGCGGUGAAAUGCGCAGAUAUCGGGAGGAACACCAAUGGCGAAAGCAAGUAUCUGGACUAUUACUGCACUCAGCUGCGAAAGCUAGGGGAGCAAACAGGAUUAGAUACCCUGGUAGUCCUAGCUGUAAACGAUGCACAUUAGACGUGGGAGGUAUCGACCCCUUCCUUGUCGAAGCAAACGCAUUAAAUGUGCCGCCUGGGGAGUACGGCCGCAAGGUUGAAACUCAAAGGAAUUGACGGGGGCCCGCACAAGCGGUGGAGCAUGUGGUUUAAUUCGACGCAACGCGCAGAACCUUACCUAGGCUUGAACUGCUGGUAGUAAAAGAAUGAAAGUUCAGACGAACCGUCAAGUCGGUUGCCAGUAGAGGUGCUGCAUGGCUGUCGUCAGCUCGUGUCGUGAGAUGUUGGGUUAAGUCCCGCAACGAGCGCAACCCUUAUCCCAUGUUGCUAGUUCAUAAUAGGACAGCACUCUUGGGAAACUGCCUCGGAUAACGGGGAGGAAGGUGGGGAUGACGUCAAGUCACCAUGGCCUUUAUGUCUAGGGCUACACACGUGCUACAAUGGCCGGUACAGCCGGCAGCAAAUCAGCAAUGAGGAGCAAAUCUCUAAAAACCGGCCCCAGUUCGGAUAGUGGGCUGCAAUUCGCCCACUUGAAGGUGGAAUCGCUAGUAAUCGGGGAUCAGCUGGCCCCGGUGAAUACGUUCCCGGGCCUUGUACACACCGCCCGUCACACCACGAAAGCUGACUGCAACCGAAGUCGGUGAUUGAACCCGCAAGGGGCAUAGCCGCCGAAGUUGUGAUUAGUGAUUGGGGUGAAGUCGUAACAAGGUA